GACGAACGCUGGCGGCGUGCCUAAUACAUGCAAGUCGAACGAAGCUGUUUUAACUGGUGCUUGCACCGACUUAAACAACUGAGUGGCGAACGGGUGAGUAACACGUGGGUAACCUGCCCCAAAGCGGGGGAUAACAUUUGGAAACAGAUGCUAAUACCGCAUAACCACAGAAACCACAUGGUUUCUGUGUCAAAGAUGGUUUCGGCUAUCACUUUGGGAUGGACCCGCGGCGUAUUAGCUAGUUGGUAAGGUAAUGGCUUACCAAGGCAAUGAUACGUGGCCGAACUGGGAGGUUGAUCGGCCACAUUGGGACUGAGACACGGCCCAAACUCCUACGGGAGGCAGCAGUAGGGAAUCUUCCACAAUGGACGAAAGUCUGAUGGAGCAACGCCGCGUGAGUGAAGAAGGUUUUCGGAUCGUAAAACUCUGUUGUCAGAGAAGAACGUGUGCGAGAGUAACUGUUCGUGCAGUGACGGUAUCUGGCCAGAAAGCCACGGCUAACUACGUGCCAGCAGCCGCCGUAA
rnacentral:rRNA from 1 species